rnacentral:lncRNA from 1 species
GCCUCAGAAAACCCUACAUCUAAACAAACCACCCCUCCCCCUGCCCCACCAGCCUCAGAAAACCCUAGUUCUAACCAACCCACUCCUCCCACUACUCAUGCUUUCGAUUCCACACCCUCAACUCUAAGUACACACCACACCCAUUCUUCUGAUCCUAAGGCCUCCACUUCACACCUUACUGAUUCCUCCAAUCCUAACACCUCUGUAUCCUUUCACACUUCUUCCUUUGCUCCUCUUUCCCAUCCUGCUCAAUUCAAUUCUCAGAUCUUUCCUACCUCUGAUCUUUCUGGCACUAUGGGACAACAACAAACCCUCUCUUUUAAUGUGCCCAACUCUUCUAUUUCUCAUACUUACCCCAUUGAGAAUGGAGCAAGAAGCCUAGAAAAAGGAAUAGGAGUACCAAAUAAUUCAGACAGGUUAUUUCCUUUAAGGGAAGUACCCACUUUUAAUAAAGAUGGAAACUUGGUAUCUGUAAGACAUCAUACACCUUUUACCCCUGAGGAUUUAAAUAAACUUAAGGAAAAUCUUCUAUCAUUUGAGGAAGAACCAAUAUUAAUUAUAAAAAAAUUAGAGAACAUAUUCAGAACUUUGGACCCCACUUGGUUGGAUGUUGAGAAUAUAUUAGAAGAAUUAUUAACAAAGAGAAAAAAAAUCAUCUCUCUGGCUAAUCAAAAACAAGGUAAAAAAGGAAAUUAUUGGCCAACUGAAUAUCCACAUUGGAACCCCAAUGUUGAACUAGAUCACACAAAACUAAACCAGGCCAGAGAAGCAUUAUUGACAGCCAUGAGAGCUUGCUCUGAUAGACCUGAAAAAUGGUCAAAAUUUGAAAGAACCCGACAAGAUAUUGAUGAAACACCCUCCCAGUUUAUGGACAGACUUAUUGACGUAGGGAAUACAUAUAUGGACCUUGAUUUCUCCAGAGAAAGAGACAUUAGACAAAUACGUAGGCGAUUUGUUGAGAAUUGUUGUUCAGUGGUAAAAGACUACUUUAAAACUAGUUGUCCUAAUUGGGACUCUAUGGACCUUGAAGAAUUGAGGAGAGUAGCAACCUAUGUUUAUAAAGGUUGUGUAAAAAGACCUGAGGAAGGCAAUACUUUAGUGGAAGACUUAAAGAAAGAAAUUGAAAUGUUAAAGAGACAAUUGAAAAAUAAGGGAGAGAUUAUAGCCCCUUUGCAGGAAUUCACAAAUAAUCAGUAACUUGCCACUUCUGUGAGAAGAAGGGCUACAAAAUGAUGGAAUGUAGAACCUUUUUUAAGAUGAUCAGAAGGAAUACGCAAUUUAAUAACAACUUUAUAAAUAAUAACUAUAGAAAUGAUGAUAAUGGUCAUAGAAACCAG